rnacentral:rRNA from 1 species
UACAGAGGUCUCAAGCGUUGUUCGGAUUCAUUGGGCGUAAAGCGCGCGUAGGCGGCUUGUUAAGUCAAAUGUGAAAUCCCCGAGCUUAACUUGGGCAUUGCAUUCGAUACUGGCAAGCUAGAGUAUGGGAGAGGAAGGUAGAAUUCCAGGUGUAGCGGUGAAAUGCGUAGAGAUCUGGAGGAAUACCGAUGGCGAAGGCAGCCUUCUGGCCUAAUACUGACGCUGAGGUGCGAAAGCAUGGGGAGCAAACAGG